GCGGGGGGCCCCGCCGGGGCCCGGGGGCCGCUCCCGGCGCUCCCCCCCGGCCCGCGGGGCCGCCCCCGGCCCGGUCGCCCCGCGACCCCUUGGCUGCUGCCGCUGCUGCUGCUGAGUUGUAUCAACUCCCCCAGAGCCGCCUGCAGGACGCCUUCCGCAAAGCCGGAAGCCAGCGCGCCCCGUCGUUCUGAACUGAAGUCUGUGACGCGACUUGCCCCCAGUAUGGCAUAUUGUCAUUGUCACCCCGGCCCGGCCAGCGCCCCCCGGCCCGGCCGCCCCUGCCCUGCCGCCCCCCCUUCGGGGCCGCUCGUGCUAAUUUAACUCGUAACGAGUCUCUAAGGUAAUUGGGGGGGGGCUGGUGGCCCCCCCCGCCCCCAGCCCGGACGCCUGGGGACGUCCCCGUGUCCCCAGCAGUGUCCCCAGCAAUGUCCCUUUGUCCCUCUGUCCCUUUGUCACCUGCCCCCCCACCUCGGGCUCUGCAUUUUUGGCAGAGCCCCCUCCCCAAAACUGUGUCCCCCUCGCCCCCCCCAUCCCCUCGUGGGUGUCACCCUCAAUGUCCCCAAGGCGGGGGACCGAGGCACGAUGUGGCUUGAUGUCCCCAAAGUCCCCAAUUAUUUCCCCAGUUAUGUCCCCAGUAAUGUCCCCAAUUAUAUCCACAAUAAUGACCCCAAGAAUGUCCCCAGUUUCCCCAAUAAUGUUCCCAAGAAUGUCUCCAGUAGUGUCCCCAAUUUCCCCAAUUAUGUCCCCAAUAAUGUCCCCAAAAUGUCCCAAAUAUCCCCAAUAAUAUCCCCACUGAUGUCCCCACUGAUGUCCCCACUGUCCCUGAUGUCCCCGAGCCCUGGGGCUGAGGCACAAUGUGCCUCAGUGUCCCCAACACCCUCCAAGGGACAUCCUGGCCUGAUGUCCCCAAAGCCCCUGAUGUCCCCAACGUCCCCAAUGUCCCCAGAUGUGUCCCCAGUGUCCCCAACCCCUCGGACUGAGCCUGUUCAGCGUCCCCAGUGCUGCCGAUGUCCCCAAAGGAGGAGGACGCCGUCACCGCGCUCAUGGGACUGAGUCCCCAGUGUGUCCCCAAUGCGUCCCCAAUGUCCCCAACGCGUCCCCAACGCGUCCCCAAUGUCCCCAAACAUGUCCCCAAUGUCUCCCCUGGCAAUAAAAGUGUCCCCCAAUGGC